rnacentral:rRNA from 1 species
GACGAACGCUGGCGGCGUGCUUAACACAUGCAAGUCGAACGGAAAAGCCCUGCUUUUGUGGGGGGCUCGAGUGGCGAACGGAUGGGUAACGCGUGAGUAACCUGCCCUUGACUUUGGGAUAACUUAAGGAAACUGGGGCUAAUACCGGAUAGGAGCUCCUGCUUCAUGGGGGGGGUUGGAAAGUUUCGGCGGUUGGGGUGGGACUGGCGGCUUGUCAGCUGGUUGGGGGGGUAGUGGCUUACCGAGGCUUUGACGGGGGGACGGGCUGAGCGGGUGACCGGCCACAGUGGGACUGAGAUACGGCCCAGACUGCUGCGGGAGGGAGCAGUGGGGAAUAUUGCACAAUGGGCGGAGGCGUGAUGCAGCAACGCCGCGUGCGGGAUGAAGGCCUUCGGGUUGUAAACCGCGUUCGCCUGUGAUGAAGCGUGAGUGGCGGUAAUGGGUAAAGAAGGACCGGCUAACUAAGUG